GCCGGCCUGCGCCCCGUGCCGCCUCCCUGCUUCCUAAUGACGGCAUCCAGGGCACCCUGGGGUCACCUCAGUGGGUCCCUAUGGGUCACUGUGGCACCUCUGUGGCUCCCUGCAUCACCCUGUGGGUCCUUGAGUCACCCAUGGGUGCCCAUGUCACCCCGUGGGUCCCUGUUGGGUCCCUAUGGGUCACUGUGGCACCUCCGUGGCUCCCUGCAUCACCCUGUGGGUCUCUGUGUCCCCCCUGUGGGUGCCUAUGUCUCCCCUAUGGGUCCCUGAGUCCCUCCCAUGGGUCGCUGGGUCCCUAUGUCACCCUGUGGGUCUUUGUGUCACCCCUAUGGGUCACUGGGUCACCUCAGUGGGUGCCUAUGGGUCACUGUGGCACCUCUGUGGCUCCCUGCAUCACCCUGUGGGUCCCUGAGUCCUCCCCGUGGCUCCCUGUGUCACCCAUGGGUGCCUAUGUCACCCUGUGGGUCCCUGUGUCCCCCCUGUGGGUCCCUGGGUCACCUCCAUGGGUCCCUGGGUCACCUCAUGGGUCUCUACGGGUCCCUACAUCACCCCCAUGGGUCCCUGCAUCACCCUACGGGUCCCUGGGUCACCUCAGUGGGUCGCUGUGGGUCGCU